rnacentral:rRNA from 1 species
UGCGUAGGUGGUAUGGCGAGUCAGAAGUGAAAACCCAGGGCUUAACUCUGGGACUGCUUUUGAAACUGUCAGACUGGAGUGCAGGAGAGGUAAGCGGAAUUCCUAGUGUAGCGGUGAAAUGCGUAGAUAUUAGGAGGAACAUCAGUGGCGAAGGCGGCUUACUGGACUGAAACUGACACUGAGGCACGAAAGCGUGGGAGCAAACA